AGCAGUGGGGAAUCUUGGACAAUGGGGGCAACCCUGAUCCAGCCAUGCCGCGUGAGUGAUGAAGGCCUUAGGGUCGUAAAGCUCUUUCGCCUGUGAUGAUAAUGACAGUAGCAGGUAAAGAAACCCCGGCUAACUCCGUGCCAGCAGCCGCGGUAAUACGGAGGGGGUUAGCGUUGUUCGGAAUUACUGGGCGUAAAGCGCGCGUAGGCGGAUUAGUCAGUUAGAGGUGAAAUCCCAGGGCUCAACCCUGGAACUGCCUUUAAUACUGCUAGUCUUGAGUUCGAGAGAGGUGAGUGGAAUUCCGAGUGUAGAGGUGAAAUUCGUAGAUAUUCGGAGGAACACCAGUGGCGAAGGCGACA
rnacentral:rRNA from 1 species